GUAAGUAGUAGAACGGGGUUGAGCUG
rnacentral:piRNA from 1 species